GAUCAUUCCAUGUCCAGUGAUUUAUAGGGUAAUUCCUGAAAUAUCUCAAUAUUUGUUGUUGUAGACAGAAUGGGCUGCUGCUAAUGCCAGUACCAUCUGUGGAGAUGAUUUUUUAAUUGAAAAGAAUUUUCAGUCUUGAGAGCAGAGAGUUGGAUGAACUCAUCACUGCCCCCUGAGAGAAGAUUAAUGAAAUGAAAACAUAUCGUACCCCUUUAAUACCUGGAGAAGUAAUAAGGAUGCAUCAAGUGACAAUAAAGAGCAUGGUGCGUGGGGGUAAAUUGCUUUAACAUAGCACGGAAAGUCCAUCCAAGAAUUAAAAAUUGCAUUUGCAGUUUUAGAAAGUAUUACAGCAUUAGUGUUCUCUACUAAAACUCCUAACUCCUGAACUUUAACUCUAGAGGUAAAGCUCAUCAUAUUCAGAUUCCUUUGCUCUAUAUGCCACAAACAAUAGUACAUAUUCCCAAAAUAAGCCAAAAGAAUAUUGAAGGCUUACGGACCUAUAACAGAAUUUUGAAACCAAAUGACUGCAUGAAUAUUAAUCCUCUCCUGAGCCAAUGCAAGUGAUGUUACUUUUGAAUGGAUCACCCAAGUAAAAAAACAGAUCAGCAUGAACGAGAAGGACGUCAUCAUCCCCACCUGAACCCCAAGCUAUGGUUUCUCCUGGUCAACACAGCAGGUUUAAACAAGUUAGGCUUAAACAAGUUAGCACAGUUGGAAAAAGAAUAUAAUGCUCCAGAAGACAGGUACAGUUUGAGACUGUACACUUCUCAUCAGUGAACCACAGACUGGAGCAGAUACAGAAUUGAAGUAUUCAUUUAACUUUACUGUUUGGUGACAUUAAUGCAGAUACAAACAACUUGUCUGAAUUUCAGUGAUGAAUUGAAAGUAAUGAUGCCAGUGAUUUGGGUGCAAUCUUUGGAGAUUCUUUUCUAGAGCAGAGAAAUAUGAACGUGGGAUUUUAAAUUUCCAAAACACGUCCUUACUACACUGAUUGAAUUAAUGGGACAACUGUGUUCUCUGCGUGAUGUUUUUCUAUGGGUUCAGUCUCUGCCUGUGUUUAGAAGCUGCAUCAAGCACUGGAAGAAGAAAGAAGGUGGAGUUAUUUAAUAAAAAACAACAACAGAUAAAAAAACAAACAGUAGUGGCAGAGACAGCAUUAGUAAAGACCGUAGUUAUUCCUUUCAGACUGGUUACAGCAAUGAAGGUGUACAGCAGUGAUGCCUUCAACAAAGCAAGCUGUUCUCAGUUAUUUCCAUUCCAGUGCUGCAAAGGAUUGCAUGGAUGUAGGUUUUCUCUGUUAGCUGAUACCCCCCACUCCUACACACCCUGUCAGCAUGCUAACAUUGCUACAGCUGAGCUUGCAAGGCUGAAGGUGAGAUGUGACUGUGCUCUUGAAUUUGCAGCAUCCCGCAUACAUAGACAGUCCCCUUGUUAGUCCUUUCUAGAGAAUGGGCAUUUGUCCUUUUUCAUCUUGUGUCACUCGUUUCACCUUUACGUACCACUCUGCAGAGCACUCAUCAUAAGGCUGGAUAUGUGGAGUCACUGCUGGUACUCAGGAGAGGCCAUCAAGGUGCAGAGGCUGUGAGCAAUGACAGGAAAUCUCUGGAGAAACAAGAGGUGCUAUUAGACAGCCACAGUGAUUUGGUGACACAAAUCUUUGCCUCCUCUGACAGAACAGUUCUACAUCUCCAUCUCUGUUUGCCACGCUGUGUGCACAUGCACAGUGGGUACAAAGAGCAAC
ensembl:lncRNA